rnacentral:rRNA from 1 species
CUACGUAGGUCCCGAACGUUGCGCGAAAUUACUGGGCGUAAAGGGUCCGUAGGCGGUCUGGUAAGUGGAAGGUGAAAGCCUGGGGCCCAACUCCAGAAUUGCCUUCCAAACUGCCGGACUUGAGGCAGGGAGAGGUCGGCGGAAUUCCCGGUGUAGUGGUGAAAUGCGUAGAUAUCGGGAGGAACACCAGUGGCGAAGGCGGCCGACUGGAACUGUCCUGACGCUGAGGGACGAAAGCCAGGGGAGCGAACCGGAUUAGAAACCCUAGUAGUCC